rnacentral:rRNA from 1 species
CCUACGGGUGGCAGCAGUGGGGAAUAUUGCACAAUGGGGGAAACCCUGAUGCAGCGACGCCGCGUGGGUGAAGAAGCGCCUCGGCGCGUAAAGCCCUGUCAGCAGGGAAGAAAAUGACGGUACCUGACGAAGAAGCCCCGGCUAACUACGUGCCAGCAGCCGCGGUAAUACGUAGGGGGCAAGCGUUAUCCGGAUUUACUGGGUGUAAAGGGGGCGCAGACGGCGAUGCAAGCCAGGAGUGAAAGCCCGGGGCCCAACCCCGGGACUGCUCUUGGAUCUGCGUGGCUGGAGUGCAGGAGGGGCAGGCGGAAUUCCUGGUGUAGCGGUGAAAUGCGUAGAUAUCAGGAGGAACACCGGUGGCGAAGGCGGCCUGCUGGACUGCAACUGACGUUGAGGCCCGAAAGCGUGGGGAGCAAACAGGAUUAGAUACCCCGGUAGUC